CCCUCCCACGCUACAAGAUGAGAUACAUCAGACCAUAUCAAUCUAUAGGAAGAGCCGGAAAAGGUAUGGCUAGCAUCGACAUAUGUUACGCCGUCGCUGCUUAUAAAACGGUCGCUGAGAGCGAAUACCCC
rnacentral:snoRNA from 1 species